CCUACGGGGGGCAGCAGUGAGGAAUUUUGCGCAAUGGGGGCAACCCUGACGCAGCAACGCCGCGUGUGGGAAGAAGGCUUUCGGGUUGUAAACCACUUUUGUAAGGGACGAAGUCCUUUCGGCAAAUAACCGAGGGGAUGACGGUACCUUGCGAAUAAGCCACGGCUAACUCUGUGCCAGCAGCCG
rnacentral:rRNA from 1 species